CAGGUAAGUUGUUGGCUGUCUACAUGCAGCCAUGAAUGCUUCACUGAGAUUUCAUUCAAAGAGGUCUGUUUUCAUUUUUCCCGUUAGUUUGACGAAUGCGUUUGUCUCGUUUGAGACGUGGCAACAUCUUUGCUUCAGUGUCGACACACAGGCAAAAUUAUGGAAGUUCUUUGUGGAUGGUUUCAUGACGGAUAUAGGAACCUUUAAUUUGUCGAAAUCUUAUGUGACGGAUCAAAGUGCUGGUGAUAAUAUUAUAAAGCUAGGUGAGGGAAGUUGUUCUGAGAGAACGACUGAUGAAUUUAAAAAGUCUAAAUGCAAAUUUCGAGGAAAGAUGACUAAACCCAAUGUAUGGUCAAGAGUUCUAAAAUUUCACGAAAUUUCUGUGCUUGCAACUGGCUGUGAAACUACGGCAUCACCUGAUAUUACCACAGAACAAACUAAAUCCUUCCUUGUGAAAACAUUGUCCUUCAAAAGGGGAGAAUGUAUUUCCAGUAAAGGUACCCGUCUAACCAGCAAUAAAACACAACACUCAUCGUUACCAUCCACCCUGAUCCUGGCGUCUCCUUGGAUGAACGUGCUGUUUGAAAGAGUCCGUGGUGUGUGCAUGCAUUUCAACUAUCGUUUGUUUGGGAAAGAUUCCGAGCUUGAAAUUUCAGUUGAACCAAGGAACACGGCGAUUGAGAGGUUAUGGUCCAUUAAAGAUUCACAAGGAAAUGAAUUCUGGAAGAGCGGCCAGGUUUCAUUAGGACUCGUAUCAGAGUUUAGGGUUUAUAUCACGGCAAAACUAUGGUUUGUUGGAAGUGAAGCAAGUAUUGAUAAUAUCUUCUUUGUAGAAGAUUUCUGUGAUCCAGUUCCAUCAAAUGCUCAAGAAUGGCACACAAAGGUUUCUGAUAAACUCUCGGGAUCCAUUAAAUCACCAUAUUAUCCCGGGUUGUACCUAAACAACAUGAGAAGAUCCUGGACAAUCGAAGUACCGAAGGGUCACCAUCUAUUCCUGAAAAUCGAGUUUCUUAAUUUAGAGUUUCACAAACAAUGCAAAAGCGACGCGUUGGUCGUUUUUGAUAGUCGCUCUUCUAAACAAGCAGGAAUCUCGUAUUGCGGAAUUGAUUCGAUAAGCACGCCGUUUGUCUCUGCAAGCAACAGUCUAUAUAUAGUAUUCACGACAGACGAAAGGGAUGUUGGGACAGGUUUUAUGCUUACAUAUAACGCCAUUCCUGAUAAUCUCAUUGAAGACAUCUGUCUCGUUGGCAGAGUUCCAGACUGUCAUUCCUCCGUAAUUUGCUCCAACAUCAGAUCAAAUAGUUCAAAGGUUUAUGUUCAGGGAAGCGACCUGGUCACAGUUCCUGAGUUCUUUCCAGCAACAACGAAUGUUAUAAACUUUGAUCACAGUUAUUUGAUCAAGCUUGGUGGAGAUGACUUUAAAAAUUUGACGAAAUUAGAAUAUUUGAGUUGCAUCGAUAAUAAAAUUUUCGAUGUAGACAAAGAGACGUUUCAAAAUCUGGCAUCUUUGCAAACCCUACGCUUGACUCAAAACUAUAUCAAGUCUUUCUCUAAAAGACUUUUUCUUGAUCUCUCCUCUCUGGAAAUUUUAGAUGUUGGUAAAAACAGGAUUGACGAGUUAAACACUGGUUUGUUUUCCUCUCAGAGUAAUCUUCGCACAUUGAGUCUUCGUAAGAAUUUUUUGAAACGGUUAAACAAUGGAGUGUUUACUGGACUCACGAAUCUUCAGUAUCUAUAUCUUGAGAACAAUGAGCUGGGAGAAAUUGGAAAUUCUGUCUUUGAUGAUCUUACGGCGAUGAAGAUUUUAAUUUUGAAUAACAACAAGCUGGAUAUUAUCAAAUCAUCGUGGUUAAGAAAUAAGAUUUACCUGGAAAUAUUAGAUGUCCGGAAAAACGAAAUAAAAAAUAUCCAGUCGGGGGCAUUUCACGAUUUGAGAAAUUUGGUUCAGUUAGAUUUGUCGGGGAAUCAACUGCAGAGUAUUCCAGAAGAUCUGUUUGAAAAUCUCGUGUCUUUACGUCAGGUGCAAGUAGAUCACUUUACUCUAUGCUGUUAUGCCAAGCACAGUAUCCCGAACGUUAACUGUGUCUCAAAAGAUCAGGACGGUUUCUCAAGUUGCGAUGAACUUCUCAAGAACAUUGUCCUCAAAUACUCCAUCUGGGUUCUUGGUGUGAUGGCGUUUGCUGGGAACCUCAUCGUAAUAAUAUGGCGCUCCGCUGCAAAAGAUAGCAACAAAGUAAAUUCAUUUCUCUUGACAAAUCUCGCCGUUGCUGACUUUAUGAUGGGAAUCUACAUGUUGAUAAUCGCGUAUCAGGACAGGACCUGGCACGGAGUGUAUUUUAAACAUGACUUCACUUGGCGUGCAAGUGGUCUUUGUAUAUUUGCUGGAGUGAUAUCGACCGUUUCUAGCGAGGUUUCCGUAAUAACGUUGACUGUGAUUACAAUAGAUCGCUUGGUCUGCAUUGUCUUUCCGUUUCGUUUCCGUCGCUGGUCAAUGAAGAAGGCUGCAAGUAUCAUGUGUGUGGUCUGGAUCCUGGGGUUUUGUAUAUCCCUAGCUCCGUUGUUCCACGACUCGUAUUUUUACGAUUUCAAAAACAAUGUUCACUUCUUUGGUCGUUCAGCGGUCUGUCUGCCGCUGCAGUUAUCACGUGAACGCCCAUCUGGUUGGCAAUACUCUGUGUCCAUCUUCCUCAUUCUGAAUGGCGUUUCCUUCAUCUUUAUACUCCUCGCGUAUGUGAUUAUGUACCAUACGAUAGUGAAGGCAGCAAAUGCGGUAAGGUCUACCAGAAUGAAUCAAGAUUCCACUCUUGCAAAGCGAAUGAUGUUCAUCAUUUUGACUGAUUUCUUCUGCUGGUUCCCCGUCAUAAUAAUCAGCAUCCUGGCGUUGACAGGCAAUCUUUAUGAUCCUUCAAAGCAGGUUUAUGCGUGGAUCGCUGUCUUUGUGUUGCCAAUAAAUUCGUCAAUCAAUCCAUUGCUAUACACCUUUUCAACACCGUAUGUUCGUAAAAAAAUUCCAACUGCAAGAAGAGCUUUCUCAAAACGUGGACGAAAAAGAGACAACGGAGCUUUAAGACGUUAUUCAAGCGAAGUUAGUGUUAUUUCGAACGUUGAUCAUUUUAAUACAACUGUGUCAUCGCUAAGUACCCCUCAGUCUAUUCGCAAACUGGGGAUUAUCAGCGAAGGAUAUACUAACGAUGACAAUAUGGCUGAGAGUAGUUUUACUGAGUCAACCUCAGCUAUAGAAUAUCGCAUCAGGAUGGUGGAGGAUGUUAAAUACUUGAGUGAUGAUGGACACGGAGUCAUACAAACCUGUCUUGCUGUUGACGUUGACGGAGAAGAGACGCCAUGUUUGAUUAAUGUUUAUAAGAACGAAUAUGAAACAUUGUGGAAAGCGACAACUAAUAUUCUUUCUUGGCUAUCGCUGGAUGGCGGACAUGAUAAUAUCCUGCAGUUCCUGUGGAGCGCUAAAGGGGCAAACGUUUUCGUUGAGAGAAGCGACUCCUUGGCAAGUAACAUGAUGGAGAUAAAACCUGACGAUUGCCUGGUGUGUUAUGAACUUCCUUCGAGACUAACAUUAAAGAAAUUCCUGCAAAUGGAGCAGAAUGAGAUCACGGAGGAGACCAUUUAUUGGAUUUUAAACGAUCUUAUGACAGCUAUUGAUUACCUUUCGUCAAAACAAAUUGUUCAUGACGCUAUUCUUCCAGAAAAUAUAAUUCUUCUCAAGUCAUCUGAGCUAGAAGUUGAGAGCGCCUUACUUGGAGGACUUCAUGCAACGAAAUUUAUCGACUCCAUCGCUUCAGAGGGAAAGGAUGACGAAGUUGGUAGAAAAAAUUUGAAAGAGGCACUUGAAAGCAACGUGACAGCGUUUGGAAAUGUUAUCCAGAUAUUUCUUCAAGUUUGUCCAUCAUUUGAGAAACUCACCCAGAUCUGGACGCCAUCUUGUCAACAGCUGCUGCACAACGAGUCAAAAAGGGACCAAAUUUGGGCGAGAAGCGCUACGUGACGUCACUGGGGGACAGAGCUAUCAUUUCACUGGGGGACAGGGCCAUAUUCAACCCGUUGUUUAUGGAGCUGUAGGCCACUAAAAUUCCCGUGGAAAUGUGAAACUUUCUCCUUCUGAAGGACUUUAUGAACAAAUGUUAUACAAACAAGUUAUUCAGGGUUUCCUGCGCGUGUAUCGCAGGUUGCAAGUGUCCUCCCCCCGGAAUCAUUGCGAGCAUUUGAAUUCAAGCAAAUUUAUAACGAAAAUCCAGUGAUAUAGCCGAUUGUUUUGAUAAAAAUG